GGACGGCUCAGUAACACGUGGCUAACUUACCCUCGGGUGGGGGAUAACCUCGGGAAACUGAGGAUAAUACCCCAUAGGAGAAGAGGUCUGGAAUGAUCCUUCUCUGAAAACAUAUGUGCCCGAGGAUGGGGCUGCGUCUGAUUAGGUAGUUGGUGGGGUAACGGCCCACCAAGCCUACGAUCAGUACGGGCCUUGAGAGAGGCAGCCCGGAGAUGGGGACUGAGACACGGCCCCAGGCCCUACGGGGCGCAGCAGGCGCGAAACCUCCGCAAUGCACGAAAGUGCGACGGGGGGACCCCAAGUGCUUACGCACUGCGUAGGCUUUUCUAAAGUGUAAAAAGCUUUAGGAAUAAGGGCUGGGCAAGUCCGGUGCCAGCAGCCGCGGUAACACCGGCGGCCCGAGUGGUGACCACUUUUAUUGGGCCUAAAGCGUCCGUAGCCGGUCCAGUAAGUCCCUGUUUAAAUCCUACGGCUUAACCGUAGGGCUGGCAGGGAUACUGCUGGACUUGGGACCGGGAGAGGGCGAGGGUACUUCAGGGGUAGCGGUGAAAUGUGUUGAUCCCUGGAGGACCACCUAUGGCGAAGGCACUCGCCUGGAGC
rnacentral:rRNA from 1 species